GGGGUGUCAGAAGGCAGCGCUCUCAGGGCACCUCCACCAUGGCCUGGGCUCUGCUCCUCCUCAGCCUCCUCUCUCAGGGCACAGGGUCCUGGGCCCAGGCUCCCCUCACUCAGCCGCCCUCAGUGUCUGGGACUCCAGGGACGUCAGUCACCAUCUCCUGUGCUGGGAGCAGCAAUGAUGUCGGGGGUUAUGAUGAUGUCUCCUGGUACCAACAUCGCCCGGGCACGGUCCCUAAACUCCUGAUUCAUGAUGACACAUACCAGCCCUCGGGGAUCCCUGAGCGCUUCUCUGGCUCCAAGUCUGGCAACACGGCCACCCUGACCAUCUCUGGGCUGCAGGCCGAGGACGAGGCCGAUUAUCACUGUUGCUCAUAUGCAGGCAGUGGCACUCUCCACAGUGGGUCCUGGGCCCAGGCUCCCCUCACUCAGCCACCCUCAGUGUCUGGGACUCCAGGGACGUCAGUCACCAUCUCCUGUGCUGGGAGCAGCAAUGAUGUCGGGGGUUAUGAUGAUGUCUCCUGGUACCAACAUCGCCCGGGCACGGCCCCUAAACUCCUGAUUCAUGAUGACACAUACCGGCCCUCGGGGAUCCCUGAGCGCUUCUCUGGCUCCAAGUCUGGCAACACGGCCACCCUGACCAUCUCUGGGCUGCAGGCUGAGGACGAGGCCGAUUAUCACUGUUGCUCAUAUGCAGGCAGUGGCACUCUCCACAGUGAGCCCUGA